CCCUUAGAUGUCCGGGGCUGCACGCGCGCUACACUGUAGACAGCAGCGUGCUUUAAAACCUUUCCUGAAAAGGAUGGGUAACCCCAGCAAAAUUCUACGUGCUUGGGAUAGAGAUUUGCAAUUUUCUCUCUUGAACGAGGAAUUCCCAGUAAGUGCGAGUCAUCAGCUCGCGUUGAUUACGUCCCUGCCCUUUGUACACACCGCCCGUCGCUACUACCGAUUGGGAAAAUUUUAGAGAGUCCUGGACUGAUGAUUGUUCGGCUUCACGGCCUUACUUUCGUCGGGAAAGAAUUCGAUAAUAGUUUUCUAGAGGAAGUAAAAGUCGUAACA
rnacentral:rRNA from 1 species